rnacentral:tRNA from 1 species
GGAGUUGUAGCUCAGUGGUAAAGUGCUUGCCUUGUAUGCAUGAGGCACUGGGUUCAAUCCUCAGCACCA